UCACUUCGCCUUUCUAGGUCAUCCCUCCGCCACUGCGUCUGUCUUCCAAAAUCUGGCGGCGCACACAACCAAUUCGCCGCCGGGCCCCCACCUCUCCACCCGCAUGGCCGAUCUGUGAACAGAGCAAGCAUCAAUGGAGUGGGUUCCUCCUAAUCUUUCCACUCCCCUCUCUCCUUUGGAUCAAGCUCCCUCCACCUGGAGGAAGGGCUGAAGCCGGGUCGAUUCCGUCGUGCGUCAGAGCUUAGAGGCGUCACCGCCGGGGCGCGUCACCGGGCCACGCGCCGAGAGAGCAGCGCGGUUACUGGCUGCACGUUGGAGCCUUGGAGGUUGCUGGCUCGCAGCAGGCUGGGGCUGCUGGACAUGGAGAUCAGAUGGAGCAUAAGUCAGCGAGUACUUCAAUCUCAAGUUUGAGCUCCCCGUCCAGCCCCAUGUCUUUGUCUUCACAUGAAUCAGUCUUCUACUAUAUUUAGAGGUGGAUGCAAAUUUCUGCACAAUCUUCGGCUUUCUUGAUGUUGCACUGAUUAUGUAAUCUGCGUAUGGGUUGAUAAUGAGUUAUAAAGCUCGGGUUGUCUAAACCUGAAAAUUCAGUGAGGUGUAAAUGUACAGUUCACUAUUAUACUUCAACAUGAUCAGGAUGCCUUUAAUCAAAAGGAUUGGUUUAGUCAACCCAUAAGAUUGAUUCAUUACCUUGGAGUUCCAGAGGGAUUUUGUGUAGCAUGUUCUUCAGCUGAGCGACUACUUCGUCGGCCAAACACCCGGCUCCUGCUGCAAAGAUGUCCACUGUCCAAGACCCGUGCGUAUCAUUAUUCUCCCUGUCUGUGCCGCGCAACAGCAGUUUCCUGUAGCCCUGCCUCCAUCAGCUUCUCCCUCUUCCUUGCAAUCGGACAUCGGCAACAGCAAUAUCUGCACUCACUAUACGGUUGGCAAAACCGAAUUUCAGCUCCGAUCAAAGCUUCUACUUCAUGCCUGCGCAUUCUAAAAAUUUAGUGAUUUUUCCCACUAAAGAUAUAACAUAUCUGCUACUAUUAAUAGCACGUGAUCCGUUUUUCUUCAUUUAUGCUAACCGUCGGAACUAAUAAAAUGCUUGAUGAUAUUAGUGGAUCUCUUUAUAACCGUAUAUGUCUGGUUGUUCCAAGAUAAUUGUUAGCUGUGAUAUUAUAUCAACUGAUUAUCUUGCUGAUGCUGAUCCGCUCUAUCCAUCGGAAUUCUUACAUUCUGUAGUCGUUAAAAAUUUUGCACAUCAUGAAAUUGGUUUGGAAGUUAAAAAAUUAUUGACGUAUAUAAUAAAGGACAGUGUUUUUGUA